AAAACAUGUCCUUUUGUUUUAUAUAUAAGGUCUAACCUGCCCAAUGAUUUUAUUUAAUGGCCGCGGUAUAUUAACUGUGCUAAGGUAGCAUAAUCAUUUGUCUUUUAAUUAAAGGCUAGAAUGAAUGGUUGGACGAGGUAUUUGCUUUCUUUAUUUUAAUUUAUGAAUUUAAUUUUUUAGUUAAAAAGCUUAAAUUUAUUUGGGGGACGAGAAGACCCUAUAGAUCUUUAUAUUUAGAGUUAUUAUAUAUUAUGGCAUAUAAAUUGUUUUAAUAAUUUUAUUUAUUUGAUUGGGGUGAUUAUAGAAUUUUAAUUAACUUCUAUUAUUAUAUAUCAUUAAUUAAUGUUAUUUUGAUCCAAUUUUAUUGAUUAAAAGAUUAAGUUACCUUAGGGAUAACAGCGUAAUUCUUUUGGAGAGCUCAUAUCGAUAAAGGAGUUUGCGACCUCGAUGUUGGAUUAAAAUUAGUUUUAGGUGUAGAAGCUUAAAUACUAGGUCUGUUCGACCUUUAAUUUUUUACAUGAU
rnacentral:rRNA from 1 species